rnacentral:tRNA from 1 species
GGGGUUGUGGCUCAGCGGUAGAGCACUCGCCUAGUGUGUGCGAGGCCCUGGGUUUGAUCCUCAGCACCACA